rnacentral:misc_RNA from 1 species
GAAACAUUUAGUACAUCUGGCGUUAACAAAUAGAAAUUGGAAAUCAUGACCACACUCAUUUUUGCGCGAGGAAUCCCACAUUUAAUCCAGUUAUAUAAUAUUCUUAGUAUUUUAGAUGGACAAUUAUCCUCAAUAAUGUUUCUGCACCGUCUGUGGCAUGCUGACCAGGUGGAAUGAGUCCUCGCAACUGUGCAAUUCCAACAGCAUUCUUAUACUUGCC